rnacentral:rRNA from 1 species
CCUACGGGAGGCUGCAGUGGGGGAUAUUGCACAAUGGGGGAAACCCUGAUGCAGCGACGCCGCGUGGGCGAAGAAGUAUUUCGGUAUGUAAAGCCCUAUCAGAAGGGAAGAAGAAAUGACGGUACCUGAGUAAGAAGCACCGGUUAAAUACGUGCCAGCAGCCGCGGUAAUACGUAGGGUGCAAGCGUGAUCCGGAUUUACUGGGGGUAAAGGGAGCGCAGGCGGCACGGCAAGCCUGAUGUGAAAGCCCGCGGCCCAACCGCGGGACUGCAUUGGGAACUACCGGGCUGGAGUGCCGGAGAGGUAGGCGGAAUUCCUAGUGUAGCGGUGAAAUGCGUAGAUAUUAGGAGGAACACCAGUGGCGAAGGCGGCAUACUGGACGGUGACUGACGCUGAGGCUCGAAAGCGUGGGGAGCAAACAGGAUUAGAUACCCGGGUAGUC